GGGCCCGCACAAGCGGUGGAGUAUGUGGUUUAAUUCGAUGCAACGCGAAGAACCUUACCAGGGUUUGACAUCCUGCGAAUCUCUUGGAAACGAGAGAGUGCCUUCGGGAACGCAGUGACAGGUGGUGCAUGGCUGUCGUCAGCUCGUGUCGUGAGAUGUUGGGUUAAGUCCCGCAACGAGCGCAACCCACGUCUUUAGUUGCCAGCAUUUAGUUGGGCACUCUAGAGAGACUGCCGGUGAUAAACCGGAGGAAGGUGUGGAUGACGUCAAGUCAUCAUGCCCCUUACGAGUAGGGCUACACACGUGCUACAAUGGGAAUACAGACGGACGCUAAGCCGCGAGGUGGUGCUAAUCCUAGAAAGUUCUUCGUAGUCCGGAUUGGAGUCUGCAACUCGACUCCAUGAAGUUGGAAUCGCUAGUAAUCGUGGAUC
rnacentral:rRNA from 1 species